CCUACGGGUGGCAGCAGUGAGGGAUAUUGCUCAAUGGGCGCAAGCCUGAAGCAGCGACGCCGCGUGGGUGAUGAAGGUCUUCGGAUCGUAAAACCCUUUUGCAGGUGACGAGGAAGGACGGUAGCCUGUGAAGAAGUGUCGGCUAACUACGUGCCAGCAGCCGCGGUAAAACGUAGGACGCAAGCGUUAUCCGGAAUUACUGGGCGUAAAGCGCGUGUAGGUGGUUUUAUAAGUCACUGUUGAAAGCUCCCGGCUAAACUGGGAGAGGUGCGGUGAGACUGUAGAGCUAGAGUUUGGGAGAGGGAUGCAGAAUUCCGGGUGUAGUGGUGAAAUGCGUAGAGAUCCGGAGGAAUACCAGAGGCGAAGGCGGCAUCCUGGCCUAAUACUGACACUGAGACGCGAAAGCAUGGGGAGCGAACGGGAUUAGAUACCCCAGUAGU
rnacentral:rRNA from 1 species